UGUCUCCUGCAGGAUGAACCUUUUUAAGCUCCUCUUGUUGGUUGAGUUCUCAUUCAGUGUCUGACAAGAUGGGAGCUGAGUCAGUUUUGGUCCUUGUUGUUCUGGCUGUUUGCUUUGGCAAUGCUUUAGGUUUGCCAGUUGAGAGAAAAAGCCAGAAUGCUGAUAAUGAACUGCUGGGGACAGAAAAUGGAAUCUCUUCAAGUAACAGCCUUGGUCUCCUGCAGUCAAUGGGUUCUAGUGUCAAUGUUGAUGAA